rnacentral:rRNA from 1 species
GAUGAACGCUAGCUACAGGCUUAACACAUGCAAGUCGAGGGGAAACGACAUCGAAAGCUUGCUUUUGAUGGGCGUCGACCGGCGCACGGGUGAGUAACGCGUAUCCAACCUGCCCAUCACUUGGGAAUAACCUUGCGAAAGUAAGACUAAUACCCAAUGACAUCCCACGAAGACAUCUGAAUGGGAUUAAAGAUUUAUCGGUGAUGGAUGGGGAUGCGUCUGAUUAGCUUGUUGGCGGGGUAACGGCCCACCAAGGCAACGAUCAGUAGGGGUUCUGAGAGGAGGGGGCCCCACAGUGGAACUGAGACACGGGCCAAACUGCUACGGGAGGGAGCAGUGAGGAAGAUUGGUCAAUGGGCGAGAGCCUGAACCAGCCAAGUAGCGUGCAGGAUGACGGCCCUAUGGGUUGUAAACUGCUUUUAUAAGGGAAUAAAGUGGGUCUCGUGAGACUUUUUGCAUGUACCUUAUGAAUAAGGACCGGCUAAUUCCGUG